rnacentral:rRNA from 1 species
UACGUAGGCAGCAAGCGUUGUUCGGAGUUACUGGGCGUAAAGCGUGCGUAGACGGUCAAGUAAGUCGGGUGUGAAAGCCCCGGGCUCAACCUGGGAAUUGCAUUCGAGACUGCGUGGCUAGGGUGCGGAAGAGGGAAGCGGAAUUUCCGGUGUAGCGGUGAAAUGCGUAGAUAUCGGAAGGAACACCAGUGGCGAAAGCGGCUUCCUGGUCCAGCACCGACGUUCAGGCACGAAAGCGUGGGGAGCAAACAGG